AAUACAGAACUGCUAUUGCACCACAUGUGUUUUUCUUUGAAACAAACUUGCUUUGGCGGUGGGCCCAGCCUGCCGCCAGAGGUCUAAACUUACAACCAAUUUUUUAUCAACUUGUCACACCAGAUUAUUACUUAAUAGUCAAAACUUUCAACAACGGAUCUCUUGGUUCUCGCAUCGAUGAAGAACGCAGCGAAAUGCGAUACGUAAUAUGAAUUGCAGAUAUUCGUGAAUCAUCGAAUCUUUGAACGCACAUUGCGCCCUCUGGUAUUCCGGAGGGCAUGCCUGUUUGAGCGUCGUUUCUCCCUCAAACCGCUGGGUUUGGUGUUGAGCAAUACGACUUGGGUUUGCUUGAAAGACGGUAGUGGUAAGGCGGGAUCGCUUUGACAAUGGCUUAGGUCUAACCAAAAACAUUGCUUGCGGCGGUAACGUCCACCACGUAUAUCUUCAAACUUUGACCUCAAAUCAGGUAGGACUACCCGCUGAACUUAAGCAUAUCAAAAGCGGAGGAA
rnacentral:rRNA from 1 species